rnacentral:tRNA from 1 species
GGGGUUGUGGCUCAGUGGUAGAGCGCUUGUCUUGCACACAUAGGACCCUGGGUUCAAUCCUCGGCAUCACAU